ACUAUAAUAUUGGUUUAAGUGAUAAAAGUAGCUGUAGAGAGCGAUGAAAAAUAGAUGAACAGAAUAUCCAACGAAAACAAAUAAUAAAAUCAAUUUUGAUCCACUUGUUAAGAGUAAAAAGUUGUUAUUAAAUUUGAUCACUCAGUAAAUUUCAAGUCCUUGUUUGAGUUUAAAGUAAUUUUUAAACUUUGGGUGAACCUUUCAAGCUUUUAUUGAUGAUUAACACUGACUGUGAAGAUUAGAUUCAUUAAUAGAUUGAUUUAAUUAGGUAAAUAGGUUUUAAAUGAAAUUAAAAAUGAAACUUAACCACUUUGAUAAAUUGGCUUGAAUAACGAAACAUGUGUUGACAAUGACUUUUUUAAUAAUAACGCCAUCUAUAUUACAUAUUUAAUACAAACAGUGAAAAUACAAAAGACAGCAAUAAUUAAUACAAACUGAUAAGAUAGGGAAAGCAGUAAUUAUUAAGAUAAUUCCAACCGAUUAAUUAACCAAUUAUUGAGAAAUGGUGAUAUAUCUAUUAAUAGGUGAAAAUUACAGUUGUUUCAGUGAUCAUUGUAUUAGAUAUGUGAAUAAGUGUUAUGGUGAAUAUUAUAAUGGUGUUUCAAAGUCAAUGUUCAUCACAAAGGAAGGAAAGUCAUUGUCAACUUGAACAAUAAUCAUAAUCAAUCUGAUUAUCGUGUUUAACCAGGUUACCUUGUAACUUUGUGAUAAAUACAAUGAUGAUAUUAUUGUAAUAUGUAUUUAUGUUAAUAGUGUGCACCUCACUGAUUAUACAUUACAGCAAAAUACUUGAGAUAAUGUCACCAACCACCAUCAUCAACAAUACAAAAAAGAAAGCUAAACAACAUUAUACGAUAUUUUUUUUGAUUAAUGGCUGAAUAUGGCAAUGUAUUAAUAGAUAAUCGAUGAAAUACCAAUUUCAAUUAACAUAAACUUUCCAUUAGCACCUUUCUUGUUUCUCUUCCCUCCAAGUUACAUCAUCAUCAUCAUGGAUAGGUUUGGAGAUACAUGAGGCCUUUUUCCGCUUGAUGAAAUGUUUAUAAUGAUGACAAAGCCAUUUGUAUCAUCUGCCACACAUUGGUUGACCUCAGACAGAGACAUAGGCAAAGACAGAAGCCAAAGUUGAAGUUGAACCAGAAACAGAGCUUCCUGUUAUUUUGUAUAUCUUUGGAUAAGGAGGUUGAAGUUUAUGAUGAUAACAUGAUGACCAGACGCCAGUUAUCUCUCAAUGUUGAUCUUUUUAUGGUUAAAAUGAGUUGCGAUGCAUUUGUUUACCUAAUAUGACAACUGAAUGGCUGUUAUUCAGGCUGCUGAUCACCCAAUUACCACCAUUACCACCGCCGCUGCAAUUGCUCUGACUGUCACUUGAAAGCUGAUUCUUUGCUUACUUAAUCCAAUGUGACAAAAAAUUAUCUGCUAACAUUUGAAUUGAUUCAAUUCAUUGACUAUUCAAAUGUAGUAGCAGGCAAUCGGCAUGUUAUCUCAUGAUAAUGUUAAAAAUGCAAAGUAAGAUUGUCAUUGAUGACAGUUUCUGUGAAAAAUUUAAUUUACAUUUCAAUGGCAACCCAUCAAUGGCAACAUUUAAAUUGUCCCAUCCAAUCUAGAAAGUAAACUCUCAACAUAAUCAACUUGACAGCUCAUCUUCUCUUCCUUUUCAAUCUUCUCGUUCAUCAUCGUCUUCCUCUGACUUUUUCAAUUCACAUCUUCUCCUUAUUUUACCUGAAUAACUUGAUUCUGGCGGAACACGCAACACGCGUUUACCUAUCCGUUUGCGUGUUUCAACAUGAAAGGCUCAAACAUAUAUCCUCGUAAUGAUGGUGAUGAUGGUGUAUUAAAAGGACACCUUAAUUGACUCUGAAUAAUGGCCUUUUUUAUCUUUCCACUUUUCCUCAAUUUGAAUACUUCUGAUGGCGGAAUGUAAAAGCUAAAGGAUUUUCAUGUCCGAUUUAACAAGAUAAUAACUGAAAGCUUGGGAAGUUUUAAUCAACAAUCAUCAUAAAACAGAUGAUAUUGACAUUCAUUUCAAAUUUUACAAUCAAGUGGACCAUUAAGUUAUAAAUCAAUCAAGUUAAUUGUCAAACAUCCUUUACAUGAUCCUUUCUUAACCAGGCAAACAAUGUUCCCAUGAUUGUUAACCAAACCUUUGGUUCCAGUUAAAUUGUUAUUAACUGGCUGACUUUUCACUCAUGAUUUAUAUUGUCAAAUUUUAAUGGUUAAUAAUUUAUUAUCCAAUCAUUAGUCCAACUCAGGUUAUACCUUUGUCUAAUGACUCGAUACAACUUUACUCAAUUUUGGGUUUGGUUAACAAUCGUAACAAUCAUAAGCUUCAGUUUGCUUGUUUAAUGACAAUUUAUCUGAUUUUGUUAAUUUCAAACAAAAAGCGCAAGAUUAAAUCAGUUGCUUUAAAGCUUGUCUUUGAUAUUAA